GUGUUAAUCCCAACACUUGUCACCUGAAAAAGAAACAUCUGUAAGCCAUGAAGACAAGAUGAGACCAGUAAGGUUUCUUCCUAUGUUUUCCUUCUUUUCGUAAGCAGAGAUUUUAAUUUAAUGUACUUAGACUGAAAAAGUAGGUUCUAACUGUCUCCAAACAAGAAAAGUUGUAAUGCAACCCAAAUAGGGGAGAGCACCACCUCUAAUAGUUUUAGGAAAAUCACAAAAUAAAUCACAGAAACAGGCAGUGGCACCAUAAGUAUGAUUGAAUAGACAUGGGAACAGACCCAACUAACAAACUGAACCUUGUAUAAAAAUAUAUGAACUGGAAAUUUCAUGCUGAAGCAGUUUAAUAUAUCAGUGCAGAAUUGCAGAUUGUUACCAGGCCAAGCACUGUAACAUUUAUAGCUAUAACAAAAUCUUAUGAAGACAUAACAGGUAUAGAAACACUAUACAUUAAGCUGAUAAAUACUAAAAAGAGAAAUAUACAUGUUUGAGAAUAAAAAUAUCAUCCAUAAAGAAAACACUAAAUUUUGGUGAUGAAGCACUUAUAAAUCCAUUGGCCCACGAUAAACCUCCAAAAUUCAGAAAUUUCAUUUUUUUCCCCAAGUUCUCUCCUUUAGGAAUGUUGGAAUAUCACCUGUGGGAAC
rnacentral:misc_RNA from 1 species